rnacentral:rRNA from 1 species
UACGGGAGGCAGCAGUAAGGAAUAUUGGUCAAUGGACGCAAGUCUGAACCAGCCAUGCCGCGUGGAGGAUGAAGGCCCUCUGGGUUGUAAACUUCUUUUCUUUGGUACUGAAACCCCUGUUUCUACGGGGACUGACGGUACCAGAGGAAUAAGCACCGGCUAACUCCGUGCCAGCAGCCGCGGUAAUACGGAGGGUGCAAGCGUUAUCCGGAUUCACUGGGUUUAAAGGGAGCGUAGGUGGGCUUUUAAGUCAGUGGUGAAAUCUUUGGGCUUAACCCGAAAACUGCCAUUGAUACUAUUAGUCUUGAAUUCUCUGGAGGUAAGCGGAAUAUGUCAUGUAGCGGUGAAAUGCUUAGAUAUGACAUAGAACACCCAUUGCGAAGGCAGUCUUACUACGGAGACAUUGACACUGAGGCUCGAAAGCGUGGGGAUCAAACAGGAUUAGAUACCCUGGUAGUCCACGCCCUAAACGAUGAUUACUCGACAUUAGCGAUAUUACAGUUAGUGUCUAAGCGAAAGCAUUAAGUAAUCCACCUGGGAAG